rnacentral:lncRNA from 1 species
UAAUCAUAAGAGGAAACAAACUCGAUGGCUUCCUCAUUGAUGCCAAAUCUAUCCCACCUGAAUAUAUAGAGAAAAUCAUUGAAGAAAGCACUAAAGUCAAAAUAAUAAUAAACCCAAAAUUUGAAGACUCGUUCGCGCAAGAUCAGAUGUUACUAGGAUGGCUUUACAGCUCAAUUGAGACAAACGUAGCCUCCAAAUUGAUGGGGCACUCAACAUCAAAACUUCUCUAGGAUGCCAUCCGUGGCCUCUUUACAGUAAAAACAAGAGUAAACGUAAUUUAUUACAAGAGAGAAUUCGUCAAAAUGCAAAAAAGGAACUUGAAGAUGG